rnacentral:rRNA from 1 species
GAGGGUUUGAUCCUGGCUCAGGAUGAACGCUGGCGGCGUGCCUAAUACAUGCAAGUCGAGCGAACGGACGAGAAGCUUGCUUCUCUGAUGUUAGCGGCGGACGGGUGAGUAACACGUGGAUAACCUACCUAUAAGACUGGGAUAACUUCGGGAAACCGGAGCUAAUACCGGAUAAUAUUUUGAACCGCAUGGUUCAAAAGUGAAAGACGGUCUUGCUGUCACUUAUAGAUGGAUCCGCGCUGCAUUAGCUAGUUGGUAAGGUAACGGCUUACCAAGGCAACGAUGCAUAGCCGACCUGAGAGGGUGAUCGGCCACACUGGAACUGAGACACGGUCCAGACUCCUACGGGAGGCAGCAGUAGGGAAUCUUCCGCAAUGGGCGAAAGCCUGACGGAGCAACGCCGCGUGAGUGAUGAAGGUCUUCGGAUCGUAAAACUCUGUUAUUAGGGAAGAACAUAUGUGUAAGUAACUGUGCACAUCUUGACGGUACCUAAUCAGAAAGCCACGGCUAACUACGUGCCAGCAGCCGCGGUAAUACGUAGGUGGCAAGCGUUAU